rnacentral:lncRNA from 1 species
AACAAUGAGAUUGCAAUUAUACAAGGCUUGCUCGAGGGCAAGCAACAUCAACCACGAUAAGUGAAAGCAAUCUAACUAUUACAUUCAUUCAUUGUAACUUGAUCACUUUCAAUCAAAUACAAAACUUGUACAUUUACUUUACAUUCAUUCUUCCAACUUACAUUGCCAUCUCUCAAAUGAAUUUAUUACAUUUCAUACAAAUUUUACAUUCAUCGACAUAAUAGAUGAAAUAUACAUAGGGUGGCUCUAUACACAUCGGUAGUCCGCUACAUAGAGCAUGAUAACUGUAAUAUACCGAAAAUUCGGAAAGUAAAUAUCGAACUUUAGUCAAAUUGACCAAAGUGCGAGGAUGGUACACUUCGGAAAGUCCGAAGGUGUUA